GACGAACGCUGGCGGCGUGCUUAACACAUGCAAGUCGAACGGAAAGGCCCCCUUGUGGGGUACUCGAGUGGCGAACGGGUGAGUAACACGUGAGUAACCUACCCUUGACUUUGGGAUAACUUCAGGAAACUGGGGCUAAUACCGGAUAGGAGCUCCUGCUGCAUGGUGGGGGUUGGAAAGUUUCGGCGGUUGGGGAUGGACUCGCGGCUUAUCAGCUUGUUGGUGGGGUAGUGGCUCACCAAGGCUUUGACGGGUAGCCGGCCUGAGAGGGUGACCGGCCACAUUGGGACUGAGAUACGGCCCAGACUCCUACGGGAGGCAGCAGUGGGGAAUAUUGCACAAUGGGCGGAAGCCUGUUGCAGCAACGCCGCGUGCGGGAUGACGGCCUUCGGGUUGUAAACCGCUUUCGCCUGUGACGAAGCGUGAGUGACGGUAAUGGGUAAAGAAGCACCGGCUAACUACGUG
rnacentral:rRNA from 1 species